rnacentral:rRNA from 1 species
ACUUAACUAUGUAUUAAUUUAAAAGCUUUUUCUAAAACUUUUACUUUGCUACGACUUAUCUCAUUUCUGAGAGUGACGGACAAUAUGUACACAUUUUAAAACCUCUUCUCAAUUUCUUUUUUUAAUACUUGCAAAUCCUAUAUUUUAACUUUAAUAAACUUGUCAAUUGUAACUAAAAUUACCUUAAUUAUCUAUGCAUGUCAUCUGAUUUAAAACUUAUAAUUUAAUAUUUAUUUUAACAACCACACACAAAAUAAAAUUAAGUGAGAAUAAAAGRGGAGUAUCUAAUUAAUAUUCAAGUUCCUCUGCAAGGGGUAAAAUACUGCCAUGUUAUUUAGGUUUAGAGAUUAAUCUUUUAAUACCUUAAAAAAUUUAAUUUAAUCAUAAUGGGCYACUAACCCCAGUUUUAUGUAGAACUUUAAUAUUCCCAAUAAAAAAAUAGAUAAUAUUAUUUCACAACUAAUAUACUUUAUUUUUCUAUAAAUUUUGAGAUACAAUUAUUAACUUAUUUUCAAG